CUGGAAUGUUAGCAAGCUAUUUGCUGGAAAAAAUGCCCACAACAGGCCUAAUGUUGAUCACAUUAAUGCGUUUGAGUGAGUAUGGAGUGCAAAUGAUUGAAAAUGCUUCCAGAUCCCCGUUGCAAGGGACAAAGCAGGCUCUGUUCUCUGAUCUGAUGGUCAUUUUUUUUUCCAGCGGAGGAUGUGGGGCAGGAAGAGGGAAGAGGGCCAAUCUCUGUCUAAUGGUUCCAAACAGGGCCCGGGCCCGGCCCUCUGGAUGCUGACGAGUGGGAAAUGAAACACAGAUGGGUCAGAUGGGUAAGGAGAGGGGGAUUACAGGUCAGGCCAAAGAGUUGGAAUAAAUUAAGUGCUUAUGAGGUACAGAAUGGCACAUUGUUUAAGUGAAUGGACAGGGAAAAAACAUUCCAGCAUUGUUCAUCCGCCGAGGGAGCCCAACGCUCCUCUUCCCAGACGAGCCCAGGCCACAGAGCGCCUCCUCCUCGCCAGGAUGUUUGUGACCCACAGACUGAAAACGCGGCCAGGCGGUGCCCGAAACAUUAUCCUAGCCUCCAAAGAGGCCAGUUUGGCUUUAUUACACGGGAGAUGUAAUUUAUUGGGAGAAAUGUUUGGGUUCGUGUGUCGGAUGGUGGAGAGUCAGAUUUGGAGUUCCCUAGGGAUCUCCGAGGAGAAGGAGAAUUCAGGCAAAGCUGUCCAUUCGGUUGGUAACGAUACAAGCAGGAGAAUAGGACGGAAAUCCAAUUCUUCUGCUCCCUGGGGUGUGACUCUCAUACUGCAUCGCACAGCUUUCAUUUCGCGAAGAACUUGUGGAAGCAGAUGUUCACAAAGCAACUGACCAGGCCAGGUGUGUCCUUCAAGGCUACCUGCAUUCAACAGAGGCGACCACAGCCCAGACCCAUCCUUCUUGGGAGAAUUUCAAGAUGCUCCACAUAGUGGUGCCUAGCGCUCUGUGCACUCAGAGGCUAGAAGAAAAGAUACAGAGGUCCUCUUUCAAGGAGAGGCCCUGAUGUUUCUAUUCUUACAAGGAUUCUUUGGUAAUAAAUACAGUGAAAACACCGUCACCGUAGAGAUAAUACUUAAUGCUCAAGAGGUACGUAGCAGAGAUUGCAUUCCAAUCAAGGACUUCCGUAACCCUGUCUACCAAGCCAGUAUCACCUGUAGGCCAGUUCACCUUCAUCCAGUCACUUUACAGCACUUGAGUGUUUGCUGUCCGCUCAAUUAAAAUCCUACUCUGGUGGGAAAAACCAGAUUUCCAAAUGGGGACUUUAUUGAUUCAAUAAAAUUUAAGAAAUUCUGCUUAUGGAAAAACUCAUUAACCCAAACUAAUAAAUACGAGUUUACCCUGCAGUCUGGGUCCUCUUUAUUUGACAGAAUUAAAAAAUCACUCUGGAACAACUUAGUUCACUUUUCACUUGUUAAUGGAGCUUAAUAGUUCAGUAAUUCGCUUUCUGUUCUAAGCUGGCGAACUCUUCAUUCUUUCCGACACAACUUGCAUUCUCUUGCUCUCAACUUUACAGAGCCUGCGGGUUACAAAGAGGGUUCACAGAAGUGAAGAGCAGGGAGGAAGGGGGAAGGAAGGAGAACUUUUCCUCGGGCUGAUGUAAUGGCUCGAGGCUCAGCCCCUCCUAGAGGGUGGUGUCAAAUUGCAGGGCACUGUUAAGAUUCUUCAGCAAAGUUUCAAAUGCAAUGUCCCUGUGAGGGACAACGUUAUUAUCGCAUACAUGUCACAGCAAAUUUCCACUUCGGUUCAACAUCCUCUAAAAGAAACUGCAAAAAGCCAAAACUGCAUGUGCAGUGGACAAAACCUUCCCAUCAAUUUUGCCCUCUGGCACAAAGACUUUCCUUUGGAAGGCUGCUACUGUACAAAUGUUUGCUUAUUCUUAGUACAGAACUUAUGAUGUCAGUUUUUUUUUUAAAGCAAGAAUGUGUUAAAAGUAGUUGUGGCUGACUAUGGAUGUCUGAAGGUCUUCGGGAUAAAGUGCAGAGCUUGAGGGGCAACGUCAGAGUUUGUUGAGAUAUUUUUGUCACUGUUCAGUUUUCCCAACACCUCUGGAGAGAUGCCCCAACUGCACCUGUUGUAGCCAUAUAAAUCACACUCCAACCCACCUGCAUUCUCUGGACCAACCACUGCCCACCAAACAGUAAACCACUAGUCAGCUCUUAAUGUGAAAAUCUUAAAAGCUAGUUGUAAGUCAGUCUGAGUUGUUGAAUCUUUGAAAUAUGUCAUAUGGUUUAAUUGCUUAAUUUUCUAUCACUCCACAAUCCUUUUUUUCCCCUUAAUCUAUACUGACUUAGGAAGAAGGAUUUUUUUAUGCAGACAGGAACAUUCAAACUACUUCCACGUAUACAGAUAAAAGUAAAUAAUUGUUUCGUCUCUGGAUACAAACUGAGGAUUCUACUACUACCCCCAAAAGUGAAAAGAUGCACCUUAUGUUCAUAUUUAACACUAUUUAUAAUAGCCAAGACAUGGAAGCAACUUGAAUGUCCAUCAACAAUGGAUAAAGAAGAUGUAGAAUGUACAGACACACACACACACACACACACAAACACAAAUGGAAUACUACUCAGCCAUUAAAAAGAAUGAAAUAACGCCAUUUGUAGCAACAAGAAUGAACCUAGAGAUCAUCAUGUUAAGUGAAAUAUGUCAGAGGAAGACAAAUAUUACACGAUAUCGCUUAUAUAUGGAAUCUAAAAAAUAGUAAAAUGAACUUAUUUACAAAACAUAAAUAGACUCACAGACAUAGGGAAAAAAAUGCAUGGUUACCAAAGGGGAAGGUGGAACGGAAGGAAUAAAUUGGGAGUAUGGUAUUAACAUAUAUAAACUACCAUAUAUAAAAUAAACAACAAGGACCUACUGCAGAGCACCAGGAACUAUAUUCAGUACCUUGUAAUAAACUACCAUGAAAAAAUAGAAUCACUUUGCUGUACACCUGAAAUGAGCACAAUAUCGUAAGUCAACC
rnacentral:lncRNA from 1 species